rnacentral:rRNA from 1 species
GCAAUGGGAGCGGCAGACGGGAGAGUAACACGUGGGAACGUACCCUUCAGUUCGGAACAACCCAGGGAAACUUGGGCUAAUACCGAAUACGUCCGUAAGGAGAAAGAUUUAUCGCUGAAGGAUCGGCCCGCGUCUGAUUAGCUAGUUGGUGAGGUAACGGCUCACCAAGGCGACGAUCAGUAGCUGGUCUGAGAGGAUGAUCAGCCUCACUGGGACUGAGACACGGCCCAGACUCCUACGGGAGGCAGCAGUGGGGAAUAUUGGACAAUGGGCGCAAGCCUGAUCCAGCCAUGCCGCGUGGAUGAUGAAGGCCCUAGGG